rnacentral:rRNA from 1 species
GAUGAACGCUGGCGGCGUGCCUAAUACAUGCAAGUCGAGCGAACUUUUGGGAGAUUGCUCCCAAUAGUUAGCGGCGGACGGGUGAGUAACACGUGGGUAACCUGCCUGUAAGACUGGGAUAACUUCGGGAAACCGGAGCUAAUAUCGGAUAACAUUGAAGACAACAUGGCCUUCAAUUAAAAGGUGGCUUUUAGCUACCACUUACAGAUGGACCCGCGGCGCAUUAGCUAGUUGGUGAGGUAACGGCUCACCAAGGCGCCGAUGCGUAGCCGACCUGAGAGGUUGAUGGGCACAAUUGGAACUGAGACACGCCCCAGAUCCCUCGGGGAGGCAGAGGAGGGGAAUUUUCGCAAAUGGCGGAAAGCUGGCGGAAGAACGCCCGCGUGGGGGAGGAAGGCUUCCGGGCGUUAAACUCUGUUUGUUGGGAAAGAAAAGUAGCGGUCGAAUAGGGCGGUGCCUUGACGGUACCUAACCAGAAAGCCACGGCUAACUACGUG